CACCUUUAAGAUGAUGAAAUCAUAUUCUAUGUCCUUGCUGGCCUUGGGCUUGAAUAUAAACAGAUUGCUGUUGUUGUUCAUGCUAGAGA